GGACGCAUAGCUCAGUUGGUUAGAGCGCCACGUUGACAUCGUGGAGGCCACAGGUUCGAGUCCUGUUGUGUCCA
rnacentral:tRNA from 2 species